AGUGGGGAAUAUUGCUACAAUGGGCGCUAAGCCUGAUGCAGCCAUGCCGCGUGUAUGUAAGAAGGCCUUCGGGUUGUAAAGUACUUUCAGUCAGUGAGGAAGGUGGAUAUGUUAAUAGCAUAUUCAUUUGACGUUAGCUGCAGAAGAAGCACCGGCUAACUCCGUGCCAGCAGCCGCGGUAAUACGGAGGGUGCGAGCGUUAAUCGGAAUUACUGGGCGUAAAGCGCAUGCAGGUGGUUUGUUAAGUCAGAUGUGAAAGCCCGGGGCUCAACCUCGGAAUUGCAUUUGAAACUGGCAAACUAGAGUACUGUAGAGGGGGUAGAAUUUCAGGUGUAGCGGUGAAAUGCGUAGAGAUCUGAAGGAAUACCGGUGGCGAAGGCGGCCCCCUGGACAGAUACUGACACUCAGAUGCGAAAGCGUGGGGAGCAAACAGGAUUAGAUACCCUGGUAG
rnacentral:rRNA from 1 species